rnacentral:piRNA from 1 species
UAUAAGGUUAGGACUUAACUAGCUGAUUUA